GACGAACGCUGGCGGCGUGCUUAACACAUGCAAGUCGAACGGAAAGGCCCUGCUUUCGUGUGGUGCUCGAGUGGCGAACGGGUGAGUAACCCGUGAGUAACCUGCCCUUGACUUUGGGAUAACUUCAGGAAACUGGGGCUAAUACCGGAUAGGAGCUCCUGCUGCAUGGUGGGGGUCGGAAAGCUUGGGCGGUUGGGGAUGGACGUCGGGCUAAUCAGCUUGUUGGUGGGGUAGUGGCCUACCGAGGCUUUGAAGGGUAGCCGGCCUGGGAGGGUGGACGGCGACAUGAGGACUGAGGGACGGACCAGACGCGUACGGGAGGCAGCGGUGGGAAGUAUUACACAAUGGGGGGAAGCGUGAGGAGGCAGCGCCGGGAGCGGGAUGACGGCCAUCGGGUGGUAAAGCGCAUUAGGCUGUGACGAAGCGGGAGUGACGGUAAUAGGUAAAGAAGCACCGGCUAACUACGUG
rnacentral:rRNA from 1 species